rnacentral:rRNA from 1 species
AUUGAACGCUGGCGGCAGGCCUAACACAUGCAAGUCGAACGGUAACAGGAAGAAGCUUGCUUCUUUGCUGACGAGUGGCGGACGGGUGAGUAAUGUCUGGGAAACUGCCUGAUGGAGGGGGAUAACUACUGGAAACGGUAGCUAAUACCGCAUAACGCCGCAAGACCAAAGAAGGGGACCUUCGGGCCUCUUGCCAUCGGAUGUGCCCAGAUGGGAUUAGCUAGUAGGUGGGGUAACGGCUCACCUAGGCGACGAUCCCUAGCUGGUCUGAGAGGAUGACCAGCCACACUGGAACUGAGACACGGCCCAGACUCCUACGGGAGGCAGCAGUGGGGAAUAUUGCACAAUGGGCGCAAGCCUGAUGCAGCCAUGCCGCGUGUAUGAAGAAGGCCUUCGGGUUGUAAAGUACUUUCAGCGGGGAGGAAGGGAGUAAAGUUAAUACCUUUGCUCAUUGACGUUACCCGCAGAAGAAGCACCGGCUAACUCCGUG